UACGUAGGGUGCGAGCGUUAUUCGGAAUUACUGGGCGUAAAGCGUGCGCAGGCGGCUUUGCAAGACAGAUGUGAAAUCCCCGGGCUUAACCUGGGAACUGCAUUUGUGACUGCAUGACUGGAGUGCGGCAGAGGGGGAUGGAAUUCCGCGUGUAGCAGUGAAAUGCGUAGAUAUGCGGAGGAACACCGAUGGCGAAGGCAAUCCCCUGGGCCUGCACUGACGCUCAUGCACGAAAGCGUGGGGAGCAAACAGG
rnacentral:rRNA from 1 species